CUGUGGGUAGGUGUGGAUGGAGGUGAAGUGUUCCCAGGCACUCUGCAGUUCCAGGUGAGCAAAGUCAUGCCAGUGUCCCGUGGUGGACAGCAGACUCUUCAGUGCCUCCAGUGAUGUGCUGCAGUCAAGCAGAAAGGCCAGGGUCUAUCCAGAGGUGUAGACACCACCUGAGCCUUCUCCUGUUCUUGGGAUGGGGGUCCCAGACUGUCUCGGCUCUGGAGCCUGCCUCCUGCUAAGGCCCAGGAUGAGGAGGAAUGUGCUGGGUACAAGGACACAGCAGAGCACAUCCAUUGCUAGGUCCUGUUGGAGUGGGUAUCUUAGUUACCUUUAUAUUGGCAUGACAAAACACCAUGGCCAAGGUAACUUAUAAAAGAAGGCAUCUAAUUAGGGGGCUCAUGGUAUCAGUGAGUUAGUAGAUUCCAUGGCCAUCAUGGCGGGGAGCAUGGCAGCAGGCAGUUAGGCAUGGUGCUGGAGCAGUAGCUGAGAGUUUAUGUCUGAUAUGAGUGCUGUUGGGAAUCUCUGCCUGAUUCUAGGAGAAAACCACAGUCUUUGGGGAUCCCCAUAGCUCUUGCCCCCCAGUCCAGAACUCCCCAACACCUGUGUGCCAUCUGAAGUUCAUAUGCAUCCUUGAAACUAGUGAAGAAGAGUCCUUAGAGGUGACACCUGCCAUUGGACAGUCCCCUUGACCAUCCAGAAGGCCACACUGUCCCAUCUUCAGAUUCUCCACACUCCAGCAUCCCAGUGAUGCCUGCCCAUAGUGCCAUUCUUUUUUUUUCUUUUCUUUUUUGGUUUUCCAAGGCAGGGUUUCUCUGUGUAGCUUUGCGCCUUUCCUGGAUCUCGCUCUGUAGACCAGGCUGGCCUCGAACUCACAGAGAUCCGCCUGCCUCUGCCUCCCAAGUGCUAGGAUUAAAGGCGUGCGCCACCACCGCCCGGCCCAUAGCGCCAUUCUUUUUAUCUUCUGGGACCCUCAAGGGACAGAGGCUCCUUAGAAUGAGGCAGCAAUGCCUGUGUACUCCCCAAGAGCCAGCCAGACAUCAGUACACACUUCCACAUCCCCACAUUGCCUUUUUUGUUUUUCCUUUAUUUAUUUGUUUAAUAAAUAGAUUGUGCAUAUGAUUUUUUUUGUGUGUGUUUUGCACAUGUGUGUGUGUGUGCUUAUGUGUAUGUGCAGGCGCAUAUGCAUUUCGGUGUGAAUGGGGAUGUGAGCAUGCUACAGCGUGCAUGUGGUCUGAGACAACCAUAGGGUGCCUGCCCUCUUCUUCCACCUUGAGACAGGUUCACUGUUGUAUAUGCCAGGCUAGCUGGUCUGUGAGCUCCCAGGAAUUCUUCUGUUUCAGUCUCUCGUCUCGCUGUGGGAGUGCUGAGCUAUUACAGAUCUGUGCUAUUGUGUCCAGCAGUGGGGAUUUGAACUGAGGUCCCGAUGGCUCGUUUGGCAAGUGGUUUACCCAAGGAGCCAUUUUUUUCUAGUUCCCUAUUUUUAUUUUUAAUUGAGGCAAAGUGCAGUUCACAUCACAGUUUGUUAUUAUAGUUCAUUUUAAGCAGAUGAAUUGGUGGCAGUAAACAUAGCCAUAAUACUAACCUUUACUUACCUCCCAUCUUCCCAGAUGGAAACUCCCGUUAAACAUUGACUCCCGCCCCUGGCUCUCAUCCCUUACCCUGCCCCAGUCCAACCCCAUCGUUCUAUUUCCUGUCUGUCUUUGACUCCUGUAGGGACCUUGUGUGAGUAGAAGCCUACAACACUUGUCUUUUUUCUUUUCUUUUGUUUUGUUUAUUUGAGACAGGGUCCCAUGCUUCCCAGGCUAGCUUUGAGCUUGCUCUGUAGCUGAGGAUGACCUUGGAUUCCUGCUCCUCCUGCCUCUGUCACCAAGUGCUGGGAUCACAGCUGUGUGCCAUCUUGCUCGGCUGUUUUCUGUGUGAUGACUGGCUCACGUCACUCAGCGUGAUGUCCUCCGGGUUCAUGCACCACGCUCCAUGUGUCAGAGUUUCCCUUUAAUUCUGAGUACUGUCUGGGAUGGGUCAUCUUGAUUGGAUUUAUAAGCAUCUUAGAAGAUUAGUACAUGCCUCUAGCUGCUGUGGUUCCUUCUGGUUUACACCUCUCUCUGCUUCCUGUCCACCAAGCAGUGAAAAACAGCCCCAGCUACACAUUCCUGCUGCCAUGAAAUUCUGCCCGAGUGCAUGGGGCUGAGGGGCCAUGGACUGAACCUUCUGGUCAAGAUGUAGCCAGCACCAUGUCUGCCUGCACACUGCCAUCCCCUCCAUCAUGAUGAUAAUGGACUGAACCUCUGAAUCUGUACAAAUUCAGAGAAGAAGUGGGAUUUCUGGGCCACAUGGAACAUUCUGUAGGCACUUGCCUCCCUGGAGAUACAUGCUCUGUAUAUCCCAGGCUGGCCCCAUACUCACGAUCCUUCUGCCUCAGCUUCUAAACACUGGCAUGACAAACACACGCCACUGCACCUCACGCCAUAGUUAUCCUUUUUGAGGACCACACAGCUGCUCCACCUCACAUCUCACCAUCACUAUGUAGGGCUUUGUUUCUCCACAACUUUUUUCCCCUGUUUUUUUGUUUGUUUUUAUUUGAGACAGGGUUUUUCCUGUGUAGCCCUGGAUGUAUUGGAACUCUCUCUGCAGACCAGGCUGGCCUCGAACUCAGAGAUCUGCCUGCCUCUGCCUCUUGAGUGCUGGGAUUAAAGGUGUGCACCACCACGACCUGGCUGUCUCUCCACACCUUUA